UCCCUGCAUGGAUAAUAAUCGGGUAUAAGACAGAUACCGAAGGCGCGGGAUAGCAAUAAUAAAAGUAUCGGUAGGGGAGCAUUCCAUAUGCGUCGAAUGGUGCGGGUAACCUAUCCUGGAGUAUAUGGAAAAGCAAAUGUAGGUAUAAGUAACGAUAAGGAGGGUAAGAUUCCCUCCCGCCGCAAGACUAAGGUUUCCCGGGCAAUGUCAAUCAUCCCGGGGUCAGUCGGGUCCUAAGUCUCAGCCGAACGGCGAGGGCGAUGGCAGACACGGUCAACAUUCCGUGACUACCUUUAGGAGCGAUGCGGAGACGGAGCAGUGACACUUCCGCGAGCCAACGGAAUGGCUCGUUGAAGAGUGUAGGCGUAGAUCACGGCAGGCAAAUCCGCCGUGAGAGUCGAACUUGAAAGUACAGGGUCCUCUUCGGAGGAACCUGAUAGCGAGGGUAAGCAUACUCCCGAGAAAAUCCGCUAAGCAAUCCUAAAGGUACCCGUACCGUAAACAGACACACGUAGUCGGGUAGAACAUACUAAGGCGUUGAGAGAUUCAUGGUUAAGGAACUAGGCAAACUGACCCCGUAACUUCGGGAUAAGGGGUCCUCGUGAAAGCGAGGCGCAGAGAAUAGGUCCAGGCAACUGUUUAACAAAAACACAGGGCUGUGCGAACUCGAAAGAUGAAGUAUACAGCCUGACACCUGCCCGGUGCCGGAAGGUUAAGAGGAGAUGUCAACCUUUAUGGCGUAGCAUUGAAUUGAAGCCCCGGUAAACGGCGGCCGUAACCAUAACGGUCCUAAGGUAGCGAAAUUCCUUGUCGGGUAAGUUCCGACCUGCACGAAUGGUGUAAUGAUCCGGACGCUGUCUCAACCAUGAGCUCAGUGAAAUUGUAGUAUCGGUGAAGAUGCCGAUUACCCGCGAUGGGACGAAAAGACCCCGUGAACCUUUACUACAGCUUAGCAUUGACCUUGGUCAUCCGAUGUGUAGGAUAGGCCGGAGGCUUCGAAGCGGCGUCGCCAGGCGUCGUGGAGCCAUCCUUGAAAUACGGCCCUUUGGCUGUCUGAGGUCUAACUCGCCAGUGCGAGGACACUGUUUGGUGGGUAGUUUGACUGGGGUGGUCGCCUCCAAAAGCGUAACGGAGGCUUCCAAAGGUGCCCUCGGGCCGAUUGGUAACCGGCCUUAUAGAGUGCAAUGGCAUAAGGGCGCUUGACUGGGAGGCAGACAUGCCGAGCAGGCAGGAAACUGGGGCAUAGUGAUCCGGCGGAUGUGUAUGGAAACUCCGUCGCUCAAAGGAUAAAAGGUACUCCGGGGAUAACAGGCUGAUCCCCCCCAAGAGCUCAUAUCGACGGGGUGGUUUGGCACCUCGAUGUCGGCUCGUCACAUCCUGGGGCUGGAGAAGGUCCCAAGGGUUGGGCUGUUCGCCCAUUAAAGUGGCACGCGAGCUGGGUUCAGAACGUCGUGAGACAGUUCGGUCUCUAUCUAUCGUGGGCGCAGGAGUUUUGAGUGGUGCCGUCACUAGUACGAGAGGACCGUGAUGGACAGACCUCCGGUUUGCCAGUUGUGCCGCCAGGCGCACCGCUGGGUAUCCGAGUCUGGUUAGGAUAAGCGCUGAAAGCAUCUAAGUGCGAAGCCAUCCGCAAGAUGAGAACUCCAUUGAGGGUCGUUGUAGACGACGACGUAGAUAGGCUGCAGGUGUAAAGACGGUGACGUCAAAGCCGAGCAGUACUAAUUGCCUG
rnacentral:rRNA from 1 species